rnacentral:lncRNA from 1 species
UCCUACUCCACUGUUUCCAAAAUUAACCCCCAUUCCUCUAUUUCCCUCCUAUUUAUUCUAUUCCCACUAACUAUUAUUCACUAGUUAGUUAUUUUCAUUUAGUGCCAGGCUGGCGCCUCACAUACACUUUAGUAAUAGGUGGCCUACAGUCCUUCUUAGCUCUAUCAAUACUCCCCCCCAAAAGAAUGACCUUGUCCUCAAGGGGAAACCGAGGAAAAGAGUGCUGCAAUUGUGUAGCAAGUUCCCACGAAUUAUCACAUGCUGGUAACUGAUCCCAUUGGACCAAGACCUCCAAAUUCCCAUCCUUAUCCUCCCUAUAUUGCAAAAUAUCAGUUGGCUCCACUUGUAAUUCAAAUUCCUCAGAAAGCAUUGGUGGUAAUGGCUGCUGUUGGUGACCCUGCUUCAAAGCUUUCUUUAGCAAAGAUACAUGGAAAACUGGAUGAACUCUAGCAGAUUCUGGAAGUUCUAAGCGAUAUGCAACUGGACCAAUCCUCUCAAGGAUUUGAUAAGGAC